rnacentral:rRNA from 1 species
UACGGAGGGUGCAAGCGUUAUCCGGAUUCACUGGGUUUAAAGGGUGCGUAGGCGGUCAUGUAAGUCAGUGGUGAAAGCUUCCAGCUUAACUGGGAAACUGCCAUUGAAACUGUGUGACUUGAGUACAAUUGAAGUGGGCGGAAUACAUCAUGUAGCGGUGAAAUGCUUAGAUAUGAUGUAGAACACCGAUUGCGAAGGCAGCUCACUAAAUUGCAACUGACGCUGAGGCACGAAAGCGUGGGUAGCGAAC